rnacentral:lncRNA from 1 species
GGAGCAAUCUGAGGAAAGUGCUGCUUUCCCUGGCUCCUGGCAGGAAAUCGCUCCUUAAGUGGCACUCCCGAAUUGUCAGCUGCUUGUUUUAACACAAAAUGUGUAAAAAAUCCAGCCCUGCUUCUCUCCAGGAGAUGGGAAAGCUCUGGAGAGCUGCAGCUUCAGGGCUUGGAGACAGGGAAAAAAAAAACCAAAAAAACUGUGGGGGUUAUAAGUCAUAAUAUUAUGACCUAUUCCAGAGGCAGUGAUUUUAUUGUGGGAUAAAUCAGGGCUGUGGAGGAGGUGCUGAGAAACCAGGAAGGUUUGGGGAUGCUCAGGGCCUCCCCACCCCCAUCCUGCUCCUUGCCCCAUGUCUGGAGACCCAGAUCUUUGUGUUGGGAUCUGAAUCCAAACCCAGCUUUGGGAAAUGCCACAUGGGGGGUUCUUACUCAUCCAGGAACAUCCAGGGGCUCUGCUUCCCUCCUGACCUGGAGCAGGGGAGAGAAUUCCAGCUGCUUUUCCAGGAUUUCCCUGGUGGAAAACUGGAGCCAGAGUUUGGAGAGCUCAGGAAGCCCCAGGAUGCUGGGUAGGAGAGAUGGCUCAUCCCAGAUCAUCAGCAGCGUCCUGAGCCACAGGGAAUUUGGGGAAGAGGAGGCUCAGGAGGGACCUUCUGGCUCUGCAGGAGGAGCCAGGUGGGAUUUGGGAUCUGCUCCCAGGGGACAGGGACAGGAAGUGCCUGAAGGAAGGCUCAGGUUGGACAGCAGCAGGGAUUUCUCCAUGGAAAGGGUGCUCAGGCACUGGGGAGGGCUGGAACCCCCGUCCCAGAGGGGUGCAAGGAAUUCCUGGAGGUGGCACUCGGUGCUGGGGCAAGGCAGGGAAUCAAUGACCUUGAAGGGCUUUUCCAACCUCUGUGGCUCCAUGAAUUCCAGCUCUUUCCCCCUGUUGUUUCAUUUCGUUUCACCCAGCACCUCUGCUCCCCUAACUGAGGGAAUCUCUGCAUUCCAAAGAUCUGGAGCAUCAAUGAAA